GGUUAAGUGACUAAGCGUACACGGUGGAUGCCUUGGCAGUCAGAGGCGAUGAAAGACGUAGUAACUUGCGAUAAGCCCAGAUUAGGUAGUAACAACCAUUUGAGUCUGGGAUUUCUGAAUGGGGAAACCCACUUACAUAAGUAAGUAUCAUUAACUGAAUACAUAGGUUAAUGAGGCGAACCGGGGAACUGAAACAUCUAAGUACCCCGAGGAAAAGAAAUCAACCGAGAUUCCGAAAGUAGCGGCGAGCGAAAUUGGACUAGCCCUUAAGCUUUACACGCGUUAGACGAACGGUCUGGAAAGUCCGACGAUACAGGGUGAUAGUCCCGUAGUUGACGACGUGUGUUCAGUGAAAUCGAGUAGGGCGGGACACGUGAUAUCCUGUCUGAAUAUGGGGGACCAUCCUCCAAGGCUAAAUACUACUGACUGACCGAUAGUGAACCAGUACCGUGAGGGAAAGGCGAAAAGAACCCCUGUGAGGGGAGUGAAAUAGAACCUGAAACCGUGUACGUACAAGCAGUAGGAGCAGGCUUUGUCCUGUGACUGCGUACCUUUUGUAUAAUGGGUCAGCGACUUAUAUUCAGUGGCAAGGUUAACCAUCUAGGGGAGCCGUAGGGAAACCGAGUCUUAACUGGGCGUUCAGUCUCUGGAUAUAGACCCGAAACCAGGUGAUCUAGCCAUGGGCAGGUUGAAGGUUGAGUAACAUCAACUGGAGGACCGAACCGACUAAUGUUGAAAAAUUAGCGGAUGACUUGUGGCUAGGGGUGAAAGGCCAAUCAAACCUGGAGAUAGCUGGUUCUCCCCGAAAGCUAUUUAGGUAGCGCCUCGGACGAAUACUACUGGGGGUAGAGCACUGUUAAGGCUAGGGGUCAUCCCGACUUACCAACCCUUUGCAAACUCCGAAUACCAGUAAGUACUAUCCGGGAGACACACGGCGGGUGCUAACGUCCGUCGUGGAGAGGGAAACAACCCAGACCGCCAGCUAAGGUCCCAAAUUACUACUAAGUGGGAAACGAUGUGGGAAGGCUCAGACAGCCAGGAUGUUGGCUUAGAAGCAGCCAUCAUUUAAAGAAAGCGUAAUAGCUCACUGGUCGAGUCGGCCUGCGCGGAAGAUGUAACGGGGCUAAGUAGUAAACCGAAGCUGCGGCAAUAUACUUUUGUAUAUUGGGUAGGGGAGCGUUCUGUAAGCGGUUGAAGGUGUGUGGUAACGCAUGCUGGACGUAUCAGAAGUGCGAAUGCUGACAUGAGUAACGAUAAAGGGGGUGAAAAACCUCCUCGCCGGAAGACCAAGGGUUCCUGUCCAACGUUAAUCGGGGCAGGGUAAGUCGACCCCUAAGGCGAGGCCGAAAGGCGUAGUCGAUGGGAAACGGGUUAAUAUUCCCGUACUUCUUACAAUUGCGAUGGGGGGACGGAGAAGGCUAGGUGGGCCUGGCGACGGUUGUCCAGGUUCAAGUGCGUAGGCUUAAGAGUUAGGUAAAUCCGGCUCUUUUUAAGGCUGAGACACGACGUCGAGCACCUACGGGUGUGAAGUCAUUGAUGCCAUGCUUCCAGGAAAAGCCUCUAAGCUUCAGAUUGUAAGGAAUCGUACCCCAAACCGACACAGGUGGUCGGGUAGAGAAUACCAAGGCGCUUGAGAGAACUCGGGUGAAGGAACUAGGCAAAAUGGUACCGUAACUUCGGGAGAAGGUACGCUCUUGAUGGUGAAGUCCCUCGCGGAUGGAGCUGACGAGAGUCGCAGAUACCAGGUGGCUGCAACUGUUUAUUAAAAACACAGCACUGUGCAAAAUCGUAAGAUGACGUAUACGGUGUGACGCCUGCCCGGUGCCGGAAGGUUAAUUGAUGGGGUUAGACUUCGGUCGAAGCUCUUGAUCGAAGCCCCGGUAAACGGCGGCCGUAACUAUAACGGUCCUAAGGUAGCGAAAUUCCUUGUCGGGUAAGUUCCGACCUGCACGAAUGGCGUAAUGAUGGCCACGCUGUCUCCACCCGAGACUCAGUGAAAUUGAAAUCGCUGUGAAGAUGCAGUGUACCCGCGGCUAGACGGAAAGACCCCGUGAACCUUUACUACAGCUUGGCACUGAACAUUGACCCUACAUGUGUAGGAUAGGUGGGAGGCUUUGAAGCACGUACGCCAGUAUGUGUGGAGCCGUCCUUGAAAUACCACCCUUGUAGUGUUGAUGUUCUAACGUCGACCCCUAAUCGGGGUUGCGGACAGUGCCUGGUGGGUAGUUUGACUGGGGCGGUCUCCUCCCAAAGAGUAACGGAGGAGCACGAAGGUGGGCUAAUCACGGUUGGACAUCGUGAGGUUAGUGCAAUGGCAUAAGCCCGCUUGACUGCGAGAAUGACAAUUCGAGCAGGUGCGAAAGCAGGUCAUAGUGAUCCGGUGGUUCUGAAUGGAAGGGCCAUCGCUCAACGGAUAAAAGGUACUCCGGGGAUAACAGGCUGAUACCGCCCAAGAGUUCAUAUCGACGGCGGUGUUUGGCACCUCGAUGUCGGCUCAUCACAUCCUGGGGCUGAAGUCGGUCCCAAGGGUAUGGCUGUUCGCCAUUUAAAGUGGUACGCGAGCUGGGUUUAGAACGUCGUGAGACAGUUCGGUCCCUAUCUGCCGUGGGCGUUGGAAGAUUGAAGGGGCUGCUCCUAGUACGAGAGGACCGGAGUGGACGAACCUCUGGUGUUCGGGUUGUGUCGCCAGACGCAUUGCCCGGUAGCUAAGUUCGGAAUCGAUAACCGCUGAAAGCAUCUAAGCGGGAAGCGAGCCCUGAGAUGAGUCUUCCCUGAUACUUUAAGUAUCCUAAAGGGUUGUCGGAGACUACGACGUUGAUAGGUCAGGUGUGUAAGUGCUGUGAGGCAUUGAGCUAACUGAUACUAAUUGCCCGUGAGGCUUAACCAU
rnacentral:rRNA from 1 species